rnacentral:rRNA from 1 species
AAGCAUCUAAGCGGGAAGCCGGCUUCGAGAUGAGAUUUCCUUGCCCCUUUGAGGGUGUGAGGCCCCCAGCUAGAACACUGGGUUGAUAGGCUGGAUGUGGAAGCGAGGACUGAAGACUCGUGAAGCUGACCAGUACUAAUAGGCCGAUGACUUACACAC